UGUCUGAUUGGGGAUCUCUUGUCUUUGCAGGUUGCUUUCACAACCAAAAUUUAUCACCCUAAUAUCAACAGCAAUGGCAGCAUCUGCCUUGAUAUCCUGCGGUCUCAGUGGUCUCCAGCGUUGACUGUGUCAAAAGUUCUCUUGUCCAUCUGCUCGCUGCUCUGCGACCCCAACCCCGAUGACCCCCUGGUGCCAGAGAUAGCACACACCUACAAGGCCGACAGAGAGAAGUACAACAGACUAGCAAGAGAGUGGACACAAAAAUAUGCUAUGUAAGUGCCUUGGAGGUUUUACAUGAGACACUGUCCAAGAGAAGCUGGCAGAGAGGUCUUCCCUUAAAACUUUGGGCUGUUGGCUGAGCCAUUCAAAGAGCAUCAUCUGUUCUUCAAACAAAUGUUGGUCACCCACUCUCUCCAGCUGCAGCAUGUUGGUGCCAUUUUCAGCAAUUACGGCUUUGACAGUGCCACCUCUUUGAUGCCAAAUCAGCAACCAUUGUUGUUAUGAUCUGCAGUCUUCCUGGUGACACUGGAAUCUCUCU
rnacentral:lncRNA from 1 species